CUGCCGAAGCAACUAGCCCUGAAAAUGGAUGGCGCUCCAGCGUCGAGCCCAUACCCGGCCGCUGGCGGCAAAGAGAACGGGAAAGCGCUGCGGCGCUCCGGAUGGAAGGCCCUAGUGAGUAGGAGGGUCGCGGCGGUAAGCGUUGAAGGUGUCGGGCGUGGGCCCGCCUGGAGCUUCCGCCGGUGCAGAUCUUGGUGGUAGUAGCAAAUACUCGAGUGAGAACCUUGAGGACUGAAGUGGAGAAGGGUUCCAUGUGAACAGCAGUUGAACAUGGGUCAGUCGGCCCUAAGGAAUAGGGGAAACCCGUUCCGAAUCGGACAUUGUUGUGAGAAAGAAAAAGAGAGGCCCGAAAAAUCGAAAGGGAAUCGGGUUAAUAUUCCCGAACCCGGAUGCAGAGAUCGGCCCUUAGGGGCCCAAUGCGGUAACGCAAACGAACUCGGAGACGUCGGCGGGAGUCCCGGGAAGAGUUGUCUUUUCUUUGUAAGGGACGGAAUCCCUGGAAUCGGCUUGCCCGGAGAGAGGGAUGUUGUUCCCGUAAAGCACCGCGGCUCUUGCGGUGUCCGGAGCACUCUCGCCGGCCCUUG
rnacentral:rRNA from 1 species